GCAUUUGGUAGUACACGGGUUAGUACAUGAGCUUGAAGCGUUCGAAAUCUGGGUUCGACUCCCAGCCUGGCC
rnacentral:tRNA from 1 species